rnacentral:antisense_RNA from 1 species
UUGAUUGGAGCUCUUCCAGGGCUUCCUUCCUGGGCCAUAGACCCCUCUGAGGCCAUUCGCCUCUGUUCCAGUUCGGCUCUCCUGGACCCCUCUGGAUGGCUAGGUUGUUCCUCCUCAGUCUGCAUUGAUUGGAGCUGGGACCGAAGCCCCCAUUCCAGAAACCGGACCAGGAGAUAGGCAAACAAGAAGAAGCCACCCAAUGUGAGAAAGAAAUAAGCAACAGGGGUGAUGUCCGUCUUUAUGCCCAGCAAAGCCAGCCCCAGUAGGAAGGAGGCGCAGCACAGGAGGAGAAGCGGCUUCUCCAGUCUCCCCAGUUCUUCAAUCUCAAAUCAAAUAAAUAAUCUGUAGAGUCCCCUCCAGCUCCGAAAUUCUCUCUAUGUCUUGGAGUGUGUGGAAUAGCCAGGAAACCAGCCCAGGAGCUUUGACUCCCAGCCAUUCUGCACCGUAAGCAAAAAGGAAGUUAGCCACACAUGGUGGCUCAUAACUAUAGUCUCGGCUACGUGGGAGGCAAGGGGAGAGGAUCUCUUGAGCCCAGGAGUUCGAGGCCAGCCUAGGCAAUGUAGUAAGACCCUGUUCUUAAAUUUUUUUAAAAAGCAA